GCAAGUGUCCAAUGGUUUUUCCUGUGGCGGCGGAGAAACAGAGGGACAGUGCAACAUUUCCUGUUGGAAUGCAGUGCGGAGUGCUUCAUAGGCUGCGGUAGGAAGAUGAGUGAUGACAGUUCCGGAAUCUAUUAUAGUUCCAGGUGAUGCAAACAAUGAGCUAGAGACGUUCAAUCGCUUUUUGGCAACACUUAUACCAAUCAGUUCGACAAAAUACACUGACCCACUAGAUGGAUUCAAAAGCCGCGUAAAUUUCAGCGAGGGAGAUGCAGAAAUUGCUUUCUCCCCAAAUAACAAAGACCCUCUGGUGUUUUCAUUAUGUGGGAAACAGUAACUAAAUUUCUUUUUGAACUUUGAAGCUGUCUGAGAUAUCAAAGAAUAUUGUUCCCCUUGUGCAAGGCCUAGUACCCCAGAUGCUGAGCCAAAAUCUCCACCACCACUAUCUCCGCAACCAAAUUGAAACUUGGGGAAUACAUCGGGCUUCAAUGUAACCUCAUCACAUACGAAAACUCCUUUGGAAUAGGAGUUAUCUUCAUAGUUCAUGGUAUAGUUCGUCUUCGUAGAGGGGAUGCAGGAACGAUUAGAAUAAGAGGAUGAUAAGGAAGGGUUAAAAGUAGGGAUUUUCUUGUUGUGGCAAUUCCCUAAUGAACAUGAGUUGCACCGUAUCCAAGUUGUGUCACUGCCUGUGUCGAUUAUUAGAUUUAAAUUUUGUUGGGGCUUGCCAAAACCAACAUUGACAAGAAAAAAGCCAUCUUCAUUUAAAGAGUGCAUAGACUCUGGGGACCCGCCGUCUUUGGAUUCUUCCGUAGAAUAUUGGCCCAAGAUUCUGGCGUUAAUAGAGCGAACUCUGGACCGAUCUUGGAGAAAAAUUUGCUGACGACUGGGAGACUUCUUCUGGCCUAAUUGCGAGCAUGGUCCAUAACUAUAUGUUAUUGGUAGCCCUUGAGACCCUCCUGCAAGACCUACACACUGUCAGCAUAAGAACCUUCUCAAGUAGACUUUUCUUUUUCUUUUUUUCCCUUCAAAUUUCAUAGAAAUAGGUUGCAGGCUUAACCUACAAAUCUUCAUUUAAUUUGCAAGUAAAAUGAAAUUUCGCAUGCUUUGUCCGUUAAGAAAUAAUAAUCCAAGAAGAGAUGGAAUUGAAUAAAGAAGCAACAAGAUGGAGCCAAUCAAUUAAGAAAUUGUUUUAAAAGCUAUACAUACAUACAUACAUACAUACAUACAUACAUACAUAUAUAUAUAUAUAUAUAUGCACAUGGGAACACAAGAUUUUGUGGCUUAGAGACUUCACCUCCGACUGGUGCCGAGCAAUUGCUCUUAGGCAGCAGUGAAUUUAUAUCAAGGGUGUGAUAUCCGUCUCUGGCAUCUCCACAGACGGGUGUAUUGCCCACAUAACAUAAGAAAAACAGAAGAAGAAAAGAGAAGAGAAGAUGGUAGAUGGCAGUGGAAGGACAAAGAAUGGCCAUGGAUCUAACACACAAACUUUCAGUUGUUAUUGCUGAAUGUGUUAGCCUCAGUACUAACCAAUAUAUAUUACAUAAGAGUAUGGAAUAUGCUUAUAUUAUUCUCUUUGAGCCAUGGAAAAGUCUUUGCGUGUGGAACAUCCAAAGCCUUUGGACCAAGUCCCCUCCCAAGUUGCAUGAGUUGAUCACAUCUUGACCUGUUGACUCAUACUACUUUAGAAACCAUUUUUUUUUCCCUCAUUUUUGGUCAUUUCUUUCAAAAUUCAUGAGAUUUUUAAAGUUUUGAUGCAAACUUUUCCCUCAUCAACAUCUUCUUGGAGAGAAAAUGAAAGUACACUAUUUUAAUGAAUAUUAAUUCAAAUUAAGAGGUAAUUAUAACUGAAAAUUUUCACAUUUUUUAGAUAAAAUUUAGGAAGAAUAGGAAUUAAUAUUUAUGUUGAUGGAUCUCCAAACUUUUUCAUGAUUAGUUUUGGCCAAGUAGACUUAGUCAAUGGAUGGCUAAGCAGUUAUUCAAGUCAACCAAUUCUUUUGCCCUAAAAAGAAGGAAGAAGAAAGAGUGGAAUUGGAUUUUUUUUUUUUUUUGGAUUUUUUGAAAAGACAACUUUAAAUUGGAUUUUUUUCCAAAGUACCAUACGUUUAGAAAUAAUUUCAAAUGUGUCAUCUUUGAAUAAAUAUUUUUUAAAUCGACUAUAUUUUUUUUUCCAAAAUCCCAUAGAAAACCAUGGCUUUAAAGGAAAGUGGGAGGUAGCUUCAUCUAUAGACGAAGUUUGCUACCUAUUGCAACUUUUACUCGCAAUCAGUGUUGGGGUCAGAAAAUCAAGUAAAGGGUAGUAAAAAAAUUGUAAAUUAUAAAUUGUAAUAAACGUAGAUAAAUUUUUAUAAUUUAGAAAUAAUGUUUAUUAUUUAAUAAAAUAAAUAAUUAUUAACAUUAAAAGAAAAUAAAAUUUUAUAGUAUAUCAAAUUUAGAAAAAUACUAACAAAUAUUGACCACAAAAAUUAAAUUUUAUUAAUGAGAAUAUAUUCAAAAAAAAUUAAAAUAGUGAGUAUGGCUAGGAAAUUUUCAGUAUUUAAAUAAAAUAUAUUUCCAAACUUUUAGAAAAAUUAAAUAAUUUCACUGAUAAGUUUAAUUUUAGAUUUUCUUUAUAAAUAAUAAUAAAAUAUCAAUCAUGGAGUUUGAUAAAAAUUUUGUUUAAAAAUUAAAUGUAGCAGGGAAACCUAAAUAUGGCAAAAUACUUAAAAACUUAAAUAAUCAGUUGUAAAUAAACAAUUGUUUAAUUAAACAUAAAAUAAUACAUAUCAAAAUGAAACCCAAAAUAAUUCAACAUAAAGUAAAUUAAAUUUUAUCGACAAUUAAAUAAUAUAUAAUUUAAAUACUUACAUAGUCAUUUGUAAAUGAGUACUACUUGAUUAAACCCACCACUAAAAAAAUAUUUUAUCAAAUAUCAAAUACAAAACUACAAAAAAAUCAUUUUAUUAGAAUUUAUUAUACAAUAUACUAAAUAAAUUUUAUAUAAUAUUCUUAUAUAAGGAUUAAAUAAAAUUAAAAAUGAAAAUAAAAAAAUAUUUUAUAAAAAUUAUUUAGUAUCCAUACUCAUCUAAUUUUUUAUUUUAACUAUUUUCUUUCUUUCAAAGGAAAUUAUUUUCUUUGGAGGGAGGAAAAUUUUUAAAAUUCUUAAAUAAAUAAAAGGGAAUAAGCCCACUAAUUGUAUUUAUGCUCCUUUCAUUAAUUGAGUGUCUUAUGAAUUCAAACAUUAUAUGUGUAUUAAGCAUUUAAUAUUUGUAUAAUGAUUCAAAAAACUUACUUAAGGAUUUGAAUGUUCAAAAUGUUUAAUUUUUUUGCAUUUCAAACUUUGAGCAAAUGACUUCAUAUUUUGGAUUAUGAAUUUCUGCCAAAAAAACUGUCAAUAGGACAAGUGUGAAAUAGGAUUGAGUAUCGCAAUAUACAAGAAAAUCUUAAUAAAUAAAUAUUGGAUAAAUUAAUAAUAUUGCUUAAAUAAUAAAAUCUUCUAGUUUCAACUCGAGUUAGAAGACUAAAAUAACUUCAUUAAAAGCAUAAGAUAAUAACUUUUUUAAACUCUUAAAGACUCAAAAAAAAAAUAUAAAUUAAUAAUUAGUGAAGUCCAUAAAAAAUAGCAAAAAAAAAAAACUUGUAUACAAUAUUGAGUAAAUUUUUGCAACUUCUAUUUUUUUCAACUAAACUCUUUUUUGAGAUCAUGAUUAAAACCUUUUUUAUCUUCUAAGAUAUUAAAUUUUCACAUUAUGGGGUAUUUGGUAAAACUUAAUAACUUAAGUUGACUUUAAGUUAAAUUAUAAUUAAGUUAUCGACUUAAAACUUAUUACUUAAUUCUUACUUUAAGUAUUAAAGUUGUUUAAUAAAAUUAAUUUAAAACUUAUUUUAAAUCAUCAAAUUGACAUAUUUAUCAUCAUAAAUUAUAAUUAAGGCAAAAAAGGCUCAAUAGUAGUAGAGGUUGUGGCGUAGUAAAAAAGAUUAUGGAGAUAACUAUGACAAAUAUGGAUAAAAGGGUAAAAUAAGGAUGUGAACUUAAGAAUAAAUUACACCACUUUAAUAGUAAUAUAUAUUUAUUUCUACUUUUACUUGCAUUUACUCUCGUUUUACAACACGUUAUCAGCACGAAUUGCUCUGAAGGUAAUUCUCGUAUUUUAAACUUGAAGUUGUUUAUAUAGAAUAAAAUUUUACAUAUUUAUAUUACUAUUGAUUUUGUUCACUGUUAUAUAUUGUUAAAUUCAUUUAAUUUGUGUUAUAUAUUGUUAGAAACUAUAGGCAAAUUAUUUGAUUUUGAUUAUAAUCAAAAGUUAUACCAAUGCUAUCAACUUAUUAUAACUAAUUCGCAUAAUAUUGUUUUGUCAUAUAUAUGAAGUUAUUUGACAAUGUCGAAUCUCACAAAACUCGAAUUUGUGGCACUUGAAAUUUCAGGAAAGAACUAUCUAUCUUGGAUCCUUGAUGUUGAUAUACAUCUUGAUGCAAUGAAUCUUAGAGUUAUGAUCAAAGAAGGAAAUCAAGCAUCCCUAUAGGAUCGGGCAAAAGCACUGAUUUUCCUUCACCAUCAUCUUUAUGAAGGUUUAAAAAUGAGUAUCUUACGGUAAAGGACCCUUUUACUCUAUGGAGAAAUUUGAAAGAAAGAUAUGACCACCAGAAAACUGUAAUUCUCUCAAAAGCUCGAUAUGACUAGAUGCACUUAAGGUUGCAAGAUUUUAAAAUUGUUAGUGAAUAUAACUCCGUAUUAUUCAAAAUCAACUCUCAAGUGAAGUUGUGUGAAGAAAAAAUCACAAAAGAAGAUGAUUCAUCCCUAGCAGCGGCAGUGGCAAUGGCACCAUUUGAUUCGGGGUUCGAUCCCCGGCAGCGGCGUCAUUUGAUUCGUGCCCAAUUGGUGUCUCAGCUGAUUCAUGUCCAGCUGGUGCUCCUUGAUUGAGGGAGUAAUCAACAAAAUUUAUAACCUAUUACACCAUAUACUAGGGUAGCAAAGACAAAGCUACUAUAGCAUAGUGGCUCUAGGAUCGUUCACUGGGAUGGGUUUUCACUUCACAAAUGAUAUUAAUUCAAAGUUGAAUUGAUGCCUUUUCAUUUCAAGGUUAGCUUUAAAAGAAAACAUAAAGAUGCUUGAAUGAAAAAGGUUUAGAUUUAAACUAACCAAAAAUAGUAACUGAUUUUACUUACAAAGAAAAGUGUUUCUUGGAGUUUCAGAUCACUAGGUUCAGAUUCCUCAUACAAAAAGGGAGUUCCGGUCACUUGUUUCUUUUCCUCGCAUUGGAGAAUUAACAUAUAGUUCCUUCUCCAACCGGUGUUGUACAGAUGCUUCCCAUUAAUGGGUUCAAACACUAAAUCCCUCUCACUGAUGCAACUUGCAAUGGUUCAUGCCUCUCACCUAGCACUUGCCAUUCAAGGUGAUCUUUAACCUUGGAUUACCCGUCAAAAGCUCGCAAGAGAUAACUAAUGGAUGUCUCCUUGGAGUCCAAAAGCUUACCAAGUGUUGGCUAUUCUAGAAAAUCCUACCUUCAAACCACCUACCAAAGGCUCGCAAGGGGUAAACUAGUGAAUCUCCAUGGACGGAGAUCACUUGCCUUACCAAGUGUUGGCCCAGGUGAAUUAAAGGCGUUUUAAGUUAACUAAAAAGAUAAAAACCAUUAACGGGUCACACUUUCUCUUCAUUAAAAACUAAAACAACAAAACUUCCAAAUUAUGCAUGUGGAAACUUACCCGGCUUUCCUCACUCCAAGAGACAAAAAGCUUAGCCUCUCAUCCUCUGAGGAAAAAUCCUCAGAGUUUGGUUGGCUAGAAAAUGAAAAUGAAAGAGAGGACAAGAAUAUAUAUGAAAAACAGAGCAAGUGCUCUGUUCUUUGAUUCUAUAUAUUGGAUUACAUGAUUAUUUUACAGUGGAUGCAAGGGAAUAUAUAUAGAAAUGUUUUUCCAACCUUCCCAACUAAGAAAUCUUAUGGUUGGUGGAUUACAAGGAGAAGAAUGGAAAUUUAUACAAAAAUAUCUGAAGAAAAAUAUCCAAAAGAGUCGGUGGCAAAUAUCGGGAAGCAUUAAGGACCAUUUCGCAGGUGAUAAUGAGGUCUGCGAGAUUUCGUAGGCACUCAAGAAGGGCUGCGAAAUCAUUUCGCAACAAACGGCUCUUCUCGCAGGGCUGCGAAGUGGGCUUUCAUCUUGAGGUGCUCAGCUUCCAGCGUGGCACAUAUAUCGGGUAGCUUCAGGAGGAAUUCCAUAGCACUAUGCAAAAAGGCUGCGAAAUUCUCGCAACAAAAGGCUGAUUUCGCAACACUUUAGAGUGAUUGACUUGCAGUGGCUGUAACUUCUUCGUUUCAACUCCGAAUCGCGCACCGUUUGAAGCAUUGGAUUCUUGACUUCCUGAUCUUUGAAAUGGUAUAUAGAAUGUAGAAAAUGGACUUCGGGAAGUGCUCCAAAAGUGCAAAAGAAGACUGCAGCUGGCUUUCCUCUGUUUUCUUCACUCUGUUUUUCCUCUCUCCAGUGCUCUUUCCUUGCAUACUUUGAACGACUUUGGAAAAGGGCUAUGGAGCUCCAAAGCUUGGUUCUUCAUGAAUUUGAGCUUCCAAAAGCUUUGCCAUAACUUGUCCAAGUAGCUCCUCCAUCAAUUGGCAUGCUUGAAUUGAUUCAUAAGCUGAUAAAAACAUGUAAACUUGCCACAAAAUGGUUAAAACCAAUUACUAAGGACCUUAAUGAAUUAAUUGGGUUAAAUGAAUAUGAUUACUACUCAAAGGUGCUUAAAACCAUUAUAAUUAGGUCUACAAAAUAGCACUUUUUGAUAGUAAUCAGAAGACAUGUUAGAAAAAACUUUUACUACAUCUCACGUCUCAAAUAUGUUUCUACAAGAGCAAUAUCAAGAGCAUAGAUUUACAAAGUACUCUGAAUUAAUAUCAUGUCUUCUUGUUGCUAAACAAAAUAAUGAGCUUUUGGUGAGAAAUCAUCAAUCCCGUCCAACUGGAUCUAAACCAUUCCCUAAAGUGAAUGUAAUAUCAUCCCAAACUCGUGGAUGUGGAUGAGGAUAAGAACGUGGUCGUGGUUGUUGAAUGAAUCUCUGAUACCAUGGUUCUUAUGGCAAUAAUUCCUCAAAUUUUCAAGAAAAGAAAGUCUCAUUACACUACCAAAAGUGGAGUAAUACUCAAACAAAACAAGAAAAACGAAAAGUGUAUACAAGAUAAACCUCCCAAGAAUCAUGAGAAUAAUUGUUAUAGAUGUGGUAUGAAGAGGCAUUGGUUGUGUACCUGUCGUAAACCCAAACAUUUAGUUGACCUUUACCAAACAUUAGUAAAAGCAAAAGGAAAAAAAAUAGAGAUGAACUUUACCGAUGGUGAUGGAUUGGUCCUAACCUACUAUGACAUUGAUUUCUUUAAAGGUUCUAGUGAAAAAAUUGACCAUUUAACAAAUGAUGAAAAUAAUAACAUUGAUUAAUGUUACUUUAUAUAUCAAAUAAUAUAUUAUUAUGUCUUAUAUUUACAUUUGAUUAUUAUUUUUUUUUUAUAUAAUGUUAUUUACAUUAUGCCUUGUUUUUUUUUUAAUAUUAGUUAUAUCUAAAAUCCAUGUGUUAUUUGGUCUCAAGAUGAAUGAGGAUGAUGAAUGUCUCGCAUAUUGUGCAACCACGCACACAAUUCUUCAAGAUAAAAGAUACUUCCUCGAAUUGACAUUAAUAAAAGUUAAUGUAAGUAUCAUAUUUGGUACUACAAACUUGGUUGAAGGCUUUGAAAAAGCAAACAUAAUGCUACUAAAUGGAACUAGAUUCCAUAUAAAUGAUGCUUUAUAUUCUAGCAAAUCCAGAAGAAAUUUGCUCAAUUUUAAAGAUAUUCGUAGAAAUGGAUAUCAUAUUGAAACUAUGAAUGAAGUUAAUGUAAAAUAUCGAUAUUUUACAUUACUUCCAUUAUAUCCGACCAAAAGGUUAUAAUGGAAAAACUCUCAGCUUUCUCUUUUAAGUUGUAUAUAAUUAUCAAGCUUAUUGAAUCAUAUGUUGUCGUGAACCAAAAGUUCAACGACCUAAAAAUUUUUGUCCUUUGACAUGAUAGGCUAAGUCACCCAAGGUCUUCAAUGAUGCGUAAAUAAUCGAACACUCACAUGGGCAUCCACUAAAGAACUAGAAGAUUUUUUUGCCUAAUGAAUACUCAUGUGUUGCUUGCUCACAAAGUAAAUUGAUAGUCAAACCAUCUUUUACUAAAGUCAUACUUGAGUCACCAGUCUUUUUAGAAAGAAUACAUGGGAAUAUAUGUGAGUUUAUCCAUCCACCAUGUGGACCAUUUCGUUAUUUUAUGCUCUGAAUAGAUGCAUCUACUAGGUGGUCACAUGUUUGUCUCCUUUCUACACGUAAUAUUGUAUUUUCUAGGCUUCUUGCAUAAACGAUCAAAGCACAAUUCCAUAUUAUCCAAUUAAGACAAUACAUCUUGAUAAUGCAGGCAAAUUUACUUUUCAAACAUUCAUUGACUAGUGCAUGUCAGUAAGGAUAAAUAUUGAACAUCCUAUUGCUCAUACCCAUACCCAAAAUGGUUUAGCAUAAUCCUUUAUCAAACGUCUCCAAUUAAUAGCUCAAUCAUUACUAAUAAAAACCAAGUUACCUACUUCUACCUGGGGACAUGCUAUUAUGCAUGUUACAGCUUUAGUCUAUAUUUGACCUACAACUUACCAUGAAUACUCCCCUUCACAACUCAUACAUGGAAAACAACCAAAUAUCUUUCACUUACAAAUCUUUGGUUGUGCAAUAUAUGUACCAAUUGCACCUACACAACGCACUAAAAUGGGUCCCCAAUGAAGACUUGGGAUUUAUGUAGGUUUUGACUCUCCAUCUAUCAUAAGAUACUUGAACCUUUGACAGGCGAUGUUUUUACAGCCUGCUUUGUAGAUUGUCAUUUUAAUGAGAGUGUUUUCUCAUCAUUAGGGGGAAAAAAAGUUGAUUCCUAAAGAACGACGAGAAAUUACUUGGAACGCAUCUACUAUAUCCCAUCUUGAUCCUCGUACAAAUCAAUGUAAACUAGAAGUUCAAAGGAUCAUUCAUUUGCAAAAUCUUACAAAUCAAUUACUAGAUGCAUUCAUUAAUACAAAGAAAGUGACAAUGUCACAUAUCCCAGUUGCAAAUACUCCAACAUGAAUUGAUAUUCCUAUAAGACAAUUAACAAAUGAAUCUAAGAUACACCUUAAAUAUGGUAGAUCUUUCAGCUCAAAGGGUGUAACUCCUCAUAAGAGAAUAACACAAGAAAAAAUUGGCACUACAGAAGAGGUCAUCAAAAUGAUUGAUCAAUUUAAAAUUGAGAUAUCUAUAGCCCUAAAAAAAAGGCAUAAAUAAUGCAUAAAACCCCUGAAAAGGCACAUAUUGAACAAGAAACCCAUAAAGAGGCACAGGCACAUGAAAAUUGUGAGAUCUCAGUAAGUUAAGUACACACGAGAGAAAAAUGGGAUCAAAAUAAUAUUAUUAUUAACAAUAUUUUCACUUUCCAAGUGGCCUCUAAUAUCAUAAGAAAUGAUAAAAAUCCCGAACCACAAAAUGUGGAAGAAUGUCGACAUAGAAAUGAUUGAUCAAAAUGGAAAGAAGUUAUGCAAGCAGAGUUAAACUCAUUAACAAAAUAAGAAGUUUUUGGACCUGUAGUCCAAACACUUGAAGAUGUAAAGUUUGUUGGGUACAAAUGGGUAUUUAUAUGAAAGUGCAAUAAGAAUAAUGAGAUCAUAAGAUAUAAAGCAUAAUUAGUGGCAUAAGAUUUCUCGUAGAGACCUGAUAUUGACUACGAGGAAACAUAUUCUCCCGUCAUGGACGCAAUCACAUUUCAUUUCUUAAUUAGCUUGGCAAUCUCAAAAAGACUGGAUAUGCGUCUCAUGGAUGUUAUUACAGCAUAUUAUAUGAAUCCAUGGAAAAUGAUAUAUACAUGAAAGUCCCUGAAUGAUUUAAAUUGCCUAAAGAAAAUAGUACAAAGCCUCGUAACAUAUUCUCAAUCAAGUUACAACGAUCCUUGUAUAAAUUAAAGCAAUCCAAACGCAUGUGAUAUAAUCACCUUAGCGAAUACUAACUAAAAGAAGGGUAUUUAUAUGUCCAUGCAUCUUCACUAAGAAAUCAGAAACCGGAUUUGCAAUUAUUGCAGUGUAUGUUGAUGACUUAAAUCUUGUUGGAACUCUUGAAGAGCUCACAAGAACAACAAAUUCUUUGAAAAAGGAAUUUGAGAUGAAAGAUCUUAAAAAAAAAAAUUGUCUCAACCUACAAAUUGAGCAUUUUCCAAAUAAAGUUUUAGUACAUCAAUCAACAUACAUUAAGAAAAUUUUGAAGUAUUUUUAUAUGAAUAAAGUGCAUUCAUUAAGUUCUUCAAUGAUUGUCCAAUCACUUUACGUGGAAAAUGACUUAUUUCGUCAUUGCCAAAAAAAGUAAAGAAUUACUUGGUCCUGAAAUAUCAUAUCUUAAUGUUAUUGAUACACUUAUGUAUCUUGUCAAUUGUACAUGGCUAGACAUUGUUUUUUCUGUCAAUUUAUUAGCAAGAUACAGUUCCACUCCAACCUGAAGACAUUAGAAUGGUAUCAAGCAUAUAUUGCAUUAUCUUCGUGGAACUAUUGAUAUGGGUCUAUUUUACUUAAGGGAAUCAAAACUACAAUUGGUUGGAUAUGUAGAUGCAGGAUAUCUUUCAAAUCCAUAUAAAGUUAUAUCAUAAACAAGGUACGUGUUUAAUUGCAAUGGUACUACUAUUUCAUGGAGAUCUGUCAAACAAACAAUGGUGGCCACAUUAUUAAAUAAUUCAGAAAUAUUUGCAAUUCAUGAAACAAAUCAUGAAUGUAUAUGGUUAAGAUCCAUGAUUCAGCACAUUCGAGAAUCUUGUGGAUUCUCUUCUAUCAAAAGUAACCCAAUAAUAUUAUUUGAAGAUAAUAUUGCAUGCAUUGCACAAAUAAAAGAGGGUUAUAUUAAAAGAUAUAGAACUAAAUGCAUUUCGCCAAAAUUCUUUUAUACACAUGAACUCUAGAAAAGUUGUGAAAUUGAUGUGCAACAAAUACAUUCAAAUGAUAAUCUAGUAGAUUUAUUCACAAAGUCAUUGCUCACCUCAACAUUCAAGAAGUUAAUACACAAGAUUGGAAUGUGUCAACUAAAGGAAAUCCACAUGAGGGAGAGUAUGUUUGUAAAAGGGAGUUAGUGUACUGUACUAUUUUUCCCUUCGUCCAGGUUUUAUCCUAUUGGGUUUUACUGGCAAGGUUUUUAACGAGGCAGUCCUAAUAUACCAAAAGCGGUUUAAAGAAUUAUAAAAAUAUUGUACUAUUUUUGCUUCACUAGGUUUUUCCCAUAUGGUUUUUUACUAGCAAUGUUUUAAUGAGGCAUAUUCUUUAAAUGUGGUGGACAUCCAAAUGGGAGUGUUGUAAAUGUUGUGGUAAAUGACCACCACAUUAAUGUGGAAUUAAAAGGGUCAUUUAUAACUUCUAUUACUCAUCUUAAAUAUGAGUAAUGGCGGGUCAUUUGGAAAGUCUAUAAAAUGGUUUUUCAUCCCUUGUAAACAAGAAAGAAAUUAUCUCUUUCUCUCAUUCUCUCUGCCUUAUUCUCUCUUUCUCUCCUCCUUGUCUUUCGUACUCUCCACUCUCUUGAUUCUCUUGUAUGAUUCUCUCCUCCCCAUUAUAUAUAUACAAACAAAGUAAAAUAUUACAAAACACAUCCACACCAUUGUGUUAUUUCACAAAACUGACAUAUAUAUAAUACAAGCAUUGAAACUCAUCCACACACAUGUGAUAGCCAAUCACUUUCACGGAUAAAGUAGGUUUUUUUUUUCUUUUUUUGGAUUCAUGGUGUAUUAUGCAGAGUAUGGAACACAUACCCACUGUCACUAGCAAUUAAAAGACUUCAAAUCAGUGGUCUCCCCCAAGUGUAGAUAACAAGGGAAUUCAUACUACUAUUACAUUUUUUUUUUUCAAUUUAUUGGUCACUUUUCAAAAAUAAACAAGGAACUUAUUUUUUUAUUUUAUGAUUUUUUUUCAUAUGAGUAUACAUUUUUCCCAACAAAUUAUAUAUUUCAAUUAUUGACAUAGAAUCAAUUUCUGGAGAUAUUAUUAAAGUGAAGCAGUUUAAACAAAUACUGUGAAAUCCCGAUAUUCGCUUACUUUUCCAACAUCUUCUUCAUGGGUCUCCCCAGAGCCAAUAAAAAAAUUCAAACAGUUUUGUCUCCUUGUGAAUGUGGCCUUGGCUUGUUGGUGGAGAUAUUGGAAUUGUGACUGAAAAUAAAUAAUAUGGGAAAAAUGCUUAGUUCUAUUUAAUUUUCUAGAAGAACUUUUAGAUUCUCUGAUUUUUCUUACGUGGCUGAAACCGCACAGCCGAGGGGAGAGUCUGUUUCAAUCAGCCUUAUUGGGAAAGGCUAGAAAAAAAUCAAGUGGUACGUGGAGACGGCUUUGACGACUGUUCAUUGAAGCUUGAAAUAUAGCUCCACGUUUAGUCCUUUCCUCCCAUCUCUUGAAGCUCUAUGUCGUCUAAAAAAUGAGACUGUUUAUUGGUAUUGCAUACAUGUGGUGUAUGCCCUUGAUGUCCUUAUCAAUGGGCAAAAGACUUGGGUGAGUAGGAUUGAAAUUCCUUUAAGUGCCUCAUAUCAACUCGAAAAAGAAGAAUCAAUUUCUUAGUUUCUAUUAGAGUUUUCAUAUCUUAUAAAUUAUGUGCUUCAGUUAAAAACUUAUUGUAAGUUAUUUUUCAUAGUUAUAAUUAUAAUUUAUUUUUAAUAUUUAAAUUAUAUAUACAUAUAAAUGAACUUGUGCCCAAAUUCCAAGGCCUAGUGUCACAAGAUGCUUCAAAUGACCCUCCCCAUGGGCUUAUAUAGGAGGUGAGAAGCUUCUAGAGACCCUUGGAGACAUCCACACUUAGCCACUAGUGGGAAGAGUGUGGAAGGUUCUAGAAAUGCCUAGAGAAGUCCACACAACUCUACACUAUGGUAGAAGGCAUGAGAAGGGUCCAAAGCUUUCUAGAGAAAUCUAGAAGUCUCUUGUAUAUAGGUUUGUACAUAGAAUAGUCUAGGACAUUCUAGAAUAUUCUUGAUUUGUAAGGGAACCCUCCAAGGUUCUAGAGAGUUCCCUUGGUGCCUAUAAAUAGGUGAGGGCCUCAUUUGGCCAAGGCACCACCCAAAUCACUUCCUAACCAAGCAAGUGAGCAUCCAAGCACUUGUAAAGGCUUUCUUGAGAUAAUAAAGCUUCCAUUCUUUAAGGAGUUGCCUACUAAGCUCUUAAGCUUUCGAGUCGCGAGUGUCUUAGCCGAGCAAGCUAAGCAUUGGGGAUCAAGGCUGACUUAGCAAGAUCAAGCGUCUUGACUUGCCUAAGUGCCGCACGAGCUUAGUGAACGACUAAGUCCGUGACAAGUGGUAUCAGAGCGCGGUUACGAGGUAGGCAUAACAAAGGAAGCAUGUCGGGUUCCAACAUGGAGGAGACUAGUGAGCAAACCCGUGGGAGGGAGACCGAGCCUACUGCACGGGGCAGGGGCAGGAAGGAUAAAUCUCGUGAUGCCGUUGCCAACAUGGAGGCAAGGUUAGCCAAGGUGGAGCUAGCCAUGGCGGACACUCGGGAGGGGUUGGACUUGAUCGAGCAAGGCAUGGAGAAGGGCUUAGAGGAUCUAAGGGAGCAGAUCCAAGACCUUCGUGAGAGGGUGCUAGUCUCACAAGUUCAGCCAGUGUCGCAUGAGGAGUUUGUGUCCUUCCAAGGAAAGGUCUUGAGCAUGCUUGCUAGCAUGGAGUCAAGGAUAGAGGCCUUGGCCACUCGAAUGGAGUCCCGAGACCAGGAAGUUAGGCAGGAGUUGGCCAUCUACAAGGCUGCUGUGUCAGCACGGGUCAUGGCCACACAGGAGGCAUCUAGGGUGGAGGUGCCGAAGCCACAUAGGUUUAGUGGCAAGCGGGAUGCCAAGGAGUUGGAUAACUUCUUAUGGCAUAUGGAGCGAUACUUCGAAGCUAUCGCAUUGACGGAUGAGGCGACUAAGGUAAGAACUGCGACCCUCUACCUUACUGACACAGCUACUCUAUGGUGGCGUCGAAGGUUUGCCGAUAUGGAGAAAGGCAUUUGCACCAUAGAGACGUGGGAGGACUUCAGGAGGGAGAUCAAGAGGCAGUUCUACCCGGAGGACGUGGCUUACCUGGCUAGGAAAAACAUGCGGCGUCUUAAGCACACAGGCUCAAUACGCGACUAUGUCAAGGAAUUCUCUUCGCUCAUGCUUGAGAUUCCUAACAUGACUCAGGAGGAGUUGCUAUUCAACUUCAUGGAUAACCUGCAAGGGUGGGCCGAGCAGGAAUUAAGGCGUCGAGGUGUUCAAGACUUAGCCACUGCUAUGGCAAUAGCAGAAUCCUUAGCGGAUUAUAAGAGGGGAGACUCCUCCAAGAUUGAGUCUUUGGAGGAUAGCCACGCCAUGGGUGGGGGAGACGAGGUUCCAAGGGACCACAAUGCUCCUAAAAAGGGAUCAGGCAAGACGUCUAACGUCCGAGAAGGAAGGGAUAAGGCGGAAAGGAAAGAGUUUACGCCUAAAAUCAAAUGCUUCUUGUGUGACGGUCCACAUUGGGCACGGGAUUGUCCAAAGAGGAAGGCGCUCAGUGCCAUGAUCGAGGAGAGGGAGCAGGAGGACGAAGCACAUAUGGGCUCAAUGCAGCUACUAGGUGCCCUCCAAUUCAACCCGAAGCUUAGUACGCCUGAGACCUCCUUACUAGCAGGGGUGCAAGUAAAGGAGGAAAAAGGGGAGCGAGCUGAGGUAGCCCGCACACACAUGGGAGAGGUCACCAAGGGAAAGGUGAACUCAAUGGGUAAAAGGAAGCAGCACUCUAAGCAUCGAAAGCACACGGGUCUGCAUCCAUCUGGAGCCUCACGGGAGAAGGAGGUGAAGAAUAUCCUGGCUGAACGGGUCACCAGGAGACAAGGGGUCCCUCCUGUGAUAGAGUAUCUAGUCCGAUGGAAAGGACUACCCAAGAGGCAGGUAAGUUGGGAACAUGCGGAUGCCUUGAGAAAAUUCUGGAAACACAUCGAGAGGUUUCAGAAUGAGGCAACGACGAGGACGUCGACGGCAUCGGUGGGGGAGAGUGUCACAAGAUGCUUCAAAUGACCCUCCCCAUGGGCUUAUAUAGGAGGUGAGAAGCUUCUAGAGACCCUUGGAGACAUCCACACUUAGCCACUAGUGGGAAGAGUGUGGAAGGUUCUAGAAAUGCCUAGAGAAGUCCACACAACUCUACACUAUGGUAGAAGGCAUGAGAAGGGUCCAAAGCUUUCUAGAGAAAUCUAGAAGUCUCUUGUAUAUAGGUUUGUACAUAGAAUAGUCUAGGACAUUCUAGAAUAUUCUUGAUUUGUAAGGGAACCCUCCAAGGUUCUAGAGAGUUCCCUUGGUGCCUAUAAAUAGGUGAGGGCCUCAUUUGGCCAAGGCACCACCCAAAUCACUUCCUAACCAAGCAAGUGAGCAUCCAAGCACUUGUAAAGGCUUUCUUGAGAUAAUAAAGCUUCCAUUCUUUAAGGAGUUGCCUACUAAGCUCUUAAGCUUUCGAGUCGCGAGUGUCUUAGCCGAGCAAGCUAAGCAUUGGGGAUCAAGGCUGACUUAGCAAGAUCAAGCGUCUUGACUUGCCUAAGUGCCGCACGAGCUUAGUGAACGACUAAGUCCGUGACACUAGGCCCUAAUUCCCGACCUUAUGCCCAUAAGGCGAAGCUCUGGGCCUCAAAUAUGUGAGAGUGGACCACCCAACCCAGCCAAAUUCCUCUAAUUAAGUUAUAAACCCACUUGAGCCCAUACAAAGCCCAUACAUUUGGGCUCGGGCUUAAACCCCUAUUCAAGAUGUAUUCAAUCAAUUUUAUCUUUCCUUGCUCCUAUUCAAGAGCUAUACUACCUCGCAAUAGGGCUUCAAUUCUUAGGCUUCCACCCAAAGUCUUGUUUUAGUAUAUCAAGAAGAAAAAAAAAAGGUUCAAUUUUAAUAAUAAGCUAAAAGGCAAUAAAUCAUAUUGUAAGAGUUUGAGUUUGGAUGUGAAGCAAUUUAGACCAUGUCCUAGGAUAAUCAAAAAAAUGCCUAAGUGACCUAGGGUGUGUCUAAAUAUCCUAAAAGUGUACGAGCUAUCCUAAAAAUAAUAAUAACAAUAAAUUAAAAACAUCUAGAUCUAACUCAAGGCUAUCAAGGGUUAUAAUGAAGAUCUAAAUAAGUCCCUCAACGAAGGUUCUUUAAAGGUGGCUCAGAAAAAGAAACUAUAUAAGUGUCAUGAGCAAACAAGGGACGACUAUUGAGUUAAGAGAGAAGUACAAAAAGGCACCUAGUGUCACAUGUGCUAAGAGUACAAAAUGGAAAGUCUACACUAGAUGAGCUAAAAUUGUGUUAGAUAUGCAUGCAAUAGAUGAAUAUGGAAGUCCCAUUGGUGGAUGAGCCUAAAUCCUAUUGGAAAAUAGAUGUGUUGUGAAAUAUUAAUGUAGUCCCAAGGUAAAAAUAAAUGUAAUGAGGAGCAUCAUAAAAGGAUAUUGCCCAUUAUUUUUCAAAUGAAAUUAUUAAAGCCCUUAAACAUGAGAAGUGAUAUCAAAGUUGAGACAACAAUUCUAUCAAGCUUUUCACAAAAUAAAAAACCAUUUUAAUUUGUCACCUUUGCUCACACCCCUUGAAGGGCCCAUAGGUGUUGUACAUAGUUUAUGCUAUACUUGAACGGGGCCAUAGGAGUAAACUUAAUUAGCCAUCAUAAUUAUAACAUCCAAGGCAAUCACACCUAUUAUGAUAUUUUACAUUAAGUUUGAUAUAUUUGGUUUUCUCGUAGAAAUCAAGUUUUAUUUUUUCUUCUUUUUCUUUUUAAUUUGUCUUUUUCUUUCGUAUAUGCUACCAACUUUUGGUUAUCAUAAUAUAUACACCAUUCAACUCCUGCUAUAAUUCAUAUCAUCAGACUUUAGAGGGACAAUUUAGAUGAUCUAAUGAAAAAGCCAAUCAUUUUUCAUAAAAACUAUAUAUCAACAAUUAUUAGCUAGAGAAAACACAAAAAUAGUAUACUCAUAUCCAAAUCUCGAUAUUAUGCAAUCAGACAAUUGGAAUGGAUUAUGUUUUACAAACAAAAACUUUGUAACAUGUAGCAAUUCAAACAGUGAAACAGGUUACCCAAAGAAAUAAUGUCCAAGAAUUUAUAUAUUCUAUCCGAACCCUUGUUCAACAAAAACAAACUACAACCCAUGUAGAAAUAAGAAGGGAUUCCCCCUACUAUGUCAUACACAACUUUUAGAGACACUUGUUAUCUGUUUCCGAUAAUGGCUACAUGAGAAGGAUGGGAUUUUCCUGUGAAGGCCAAGCAAGCUUGAGUUCGGCCCUCAUAUACCCAAAGAAUUCCUGAUGGAUGCAAACUUACGUCCACUUCUCCCACAAAAUGUAGUGCUAUUUCCGGUAACGUUAUGUUUCUCCCCCCACAUCCCUCAAGAUUAUAGCAAGUGUCCAAUAGUUUUUCGGGCCGCGGCGGAGGAAUAGAGGGACAGUGCAACAUUUCCUGUUGGAAUGCAGUGCGGAGUGCUUCAUAGGCUGCGGUAGGAAGACGAGUGACGACAGGUCCGGAAUCUAGUAUGGUUCCAGGUGAUGCAAACAAUGAGCUAGAGACGUUCAACCGCUUUUUGGCAACACUUAUACCAAUCAGUUCAACAAAAUAAUACUUUGUUGACUCUAACCAUAACCCACUAGGUGGAUUCAAAAUCCGCGUAAAUUUCAGCAAGGGAGAUGCAGAAAUUGCUUUCUC
rnacentral:lncRNA from 1 species